GGGGAAUAUUGGACAAUGGGCGAAAGCCUGAUCCAGCAAUGCCGCGUGAGUGAUGAAGGCCUUAGGGUUGUAAAGCUCUUUUACCCGGGAUGAUAAUGACAGUACCGGGAGAAUAAGCUCCGGCUAACUCCGUGCCAGCAGCCGCGGUAAUACGGGGGGGGCAAGCGUUGUUCGGAAUCACUGGGCGUAAAGGGCGCGUAGGCGGCCCGGUAAGUCAAAGGUGAAAUCCCUCGGCUCAACUGAGGAACUGCCUUUGAAACUGUCGGGCUUGAGGCCGGGAGGGGGUAGCGGAAUUCCCAGUGUAGCGGUGAAAUGCGUAGAUAUUGGGAGGAACACCGGUGGCGAAGGCGGCUACCUGGACCGGUUCUGACGCUGAUGCGCGAAAGCGUGGGUAGCAAA
rnacentral:rRNA from 1 species